GUCCUGCCGAUUUUUUCUCACUUCAUGUCAUAAUCUUCUGUGACAUCACAAUUAAUUCCUGUGGAGAUGAUUAUGGAGACAUAGAGAGGAUUAUGAUUUCAGGAAAGUGAUAAACAGCAGGCACAGAAUAAGGCCUUCUUUUACUUCUCAAGGAUUACCAGCUUGGUAACAGCAAAAGCCAAGAGGGGGGAGAAAAAGUGGAACUCUUGUUAUCUGAUGCAACCAAGAAUCAAUAAUAAAGAAAUGGUGAAUAUUUGUUAUAAUGUCCUGAGGCUCAGCAUUAGUGACAAGGAUAUUUCUAACUACCAACUAAUAAAUGGAUCUUGAUUUAAUGAAAAUUGUGUAUUAAGGGGUCCUGUUCUGUCAACCAAAGGGGAUUCGAUUCGAUCUGUCCUGUUCAUGUCAUGAAAUGCUUCAUUUCACCUUUCCUCAAAGCAAUUGAUGCCAGCUAGCCCUAGACCUCCACAAAUAAGGGGACCGGCAGGAAGCAAUCUAUUAUUAGUGAUCAUUGGAAGGAAUAAGGAUCAGCCCCAAAAUGAGUUAAUUGAUCUUCUAGUAAGACACAGGCUUCAAAAUUGGCUGGUAGUAGGAACACCCAGGCCACCAACACCACUGAGCCACCCCAGAUGGUUGUUUCAGUGGUUGGGAACCAACCAUAAGCUGAACUUGUGAGACACUUCAUCAAGAUUUCUGCACUUGAGCCGAAGAAGCUGGAGUAUUAAUUCCUUGGAUGUUUGAAUCACAAUAUGUGCAAUAAAGAAACCACCCACAGCCAUGUUUUCUGCUUCAUGAACUUAAAUGGGGGAAGAUAUUCUACAAAUGAAAGGGGCUGAGAAAAGAGAUGCUUGGAAAGGAGCAGAGAAAAAUAGAGAAAAAGUCCUAACAUUGUUGGAAUCCUCGGAUCCCUUAAUUUCUGAAGCCCCAAUACUUUCCUUUCAUUGGUUUCUGAAUUCAAGAAUCUCCUUAGUACAUUCCUCCUUUUUGAGUAAGCUAGUUUGAAUUGAAUAGCUGUUACUUUGCCCAAACAUGUGUUAAUUAUACCGUAUGGUACCGAAGAGUUGUCUGGAUCAAAAGUGCAGCAAAGUGGACUGGCCAUUGCAGCCUCACCAAAGGGCUGUUCAGGUCAUGAUCUAAUAUUGGGAAACACAAGGAUCACUGUGAAAGCCUCACUAAUCAGGGGAUUUAAUCCAAAUUGUGUGGCACCACUGUUCUGUUGCACCUGCAUUCUCAGGACCAUGGUUAGCUGUCCAAACUGCAAAAACACUUUGUAUGGCAGAAGCAGGGAGUAGUUCUCAGACUACAUUAGAUGCCCACUUCAUUCAAAGAACAUACAGGCCAAUAAGACAAAAGGCAGACUGAAUAAUACUAGGUCAAGAUGAUUGACUUCCCACACUUCCAUAGAGCUGGCUGCUUUAUUAUCCUGCACAACUCUCUAUCAAUAAUCUUUACUCUGUUCCCCUCUCUUCUCUGACCCAGGCUUGGUUAUCACAAGAGUUAACAUUCUUUCUUGCCCUAUACAUGUAGUCAGGAAUAUGGAGAAAUAAAAUGAGUCAGGAUCUGGGAUUUUCUGAACCAGAAUACAUCACCUUUUAAGAUCUAUGACUUCAGAGUUCAAGGUAGACAAGGGUAUAUGUGGGUCCCUGCUUUCCUUCCAUCUGCAUUAGAGGUAGAAUGAGCUUAUGGUGGUUGAAUCACCAAAACUACUGAGUACAUGCUUUUCUUCUUUGAGAGACAGAGACAGUGUGAGUAGGGGAGGGGCAGAGAUAAAGGAAGAGAGAGAAUCAUAAGCAGGCUCCCUGCUGUCAGCAUGGACCCCAACGUGGGGCUUGAACCCAUGAAACUGCGAGAUCAUGACCUGAGCCAAAACCAAGAGUCAACAAAUACCAGCUGAGCCACUGAGGCAGCCCUAGUACAUGCUUUUCAAUAACAGUAUUUUAUAUCAUUUACCUGAAUGUAUGUGAGUGUGUGUGUGCGUAUAUGUUUUGUUUUAUUAUCAGUUUUAUGGACUUAUUUAAGAUGUCUGAGAACUACUCACUUCAGAUAAAAACUAUUCUUGACAACUCUUUAUGUCAGUCUUUUUCUUAUAUUAUUAUUAUUAUUAUUAUUAUUAUUAUUUUGAAUUGGUGGGUUUCAUUUCAAGGUGAUAAUAGAUGAUUUGUACCUUUUUAGUAAUCAUCUGAAGGCAAACCACCUUUGUUUAUUAGUUUGCUAUUUCUCCUGGGAAAUUAUUUUCUAGAAUUCCUGCCCAAUUGGUCCAAUUUAAGGACUCUUAAGCCAAGGUUGAGGAGAUAGAAUAAUAAAAGUCAUCAUAUGACCCUGGUAUUCAUGACAUAACUUGUACUUUACUCAUAAACUUUAGUCUAAUUUUGAAACAUUUUCGACUAUAGAUGCUGGAGAGGAUGUGGAGAAAUGUGAACCCUCUUGCACUGUUGGUGGGAAUGCAAACUGGUGCAGCCACUCUGGAAAACAGCGUGGAGGUUCCUCAAAAAAUUAAAAAUAGACCUACCUAUGACCCAGCAGUAGCACCGCUAGGAAUUUACCCAAGGGAUACAAGAGUACUGAUG